CCCGAAUCGGGGCCGCUUCCCUUGUCUUUUGCGCUCGAAGAAAGGAAAAGGGUCGCCGCGCGUGAUAUUGCGGGAAGGAAGUGCGCUUUGCACAUGCUCGGAAGGGACCUCGUCUUUUUGCUUUCUUGCAUCGACCUCCGUUGCUGGGACGGCCUUUUUUGCACCCUCCCUGUUUCGGUCUCCAUUAUCGACUGGGGAAGAAAGAAGAAAGACGGGCGUUUGUUUGAACUCGCCUCAUUUUUUGUGGAAGAUCGAAACAGUUUUACCAUGAAUGUUGGAAUCGACAAGACUGGGGAGGACAAAAUGCAAGACAGUCUCGUGAACCUUAACAAAGAAGGAGAGAAUGAGGGACGCGACAGUCAGGAGGUGAAAGACAAUGAGAAAAAGAUAACAGAAGACUACAAAAAUGAGGAGUCCACAUCUAUCAAGGAUGAUUUAC
rnacentral:lncRNA from 1 species